ACAUCAACCCUAUACCUUUACCUUUUGGUUGGUUAAUUUCAGCCAAGGAGCUCUAAAUUGGUUAUGGUAAGUGUGAACAAGUCCCAGGAUAUCCAUCCCAGCUAGCUGGUGGAACUAACAUUAGCAUGUGCAGGCCAAAGCAUCUUUUACUCUUCUGCAGCUAUGAAGUCGGCAGGAUGAAGUGAAGGAGGCUUUGGAAGCAUUUAUGCUGGGAUUUGCUUGAGAGAUGGCCUUUAAGGUGGCGCUGAAGUUCGCUGAAAUAACGUGGGUAUAGAUUGGAUUUGGACCUUGAGAGUAAUCCUGAACCCGUUCCACAGGAGAUCGGUCUGCUAAUUCUUGUCAACAAAGGGUUCCCCACAUCAUCCAGCUUCUGGCAAAAUCCUGACCGAUGCGGGAUACACAUCCUUUGCUGGCAGACCCAACCUGUAUAUGCCCUCUGGAAAAAGGAUGACUUGUCACAAGGUUAGAACUUCUCAACGGGACCUAGGUUGAGACAUCCUUCAGUGAUGCACUCGGAAGUUGAACCGCUGCAACCUAAGAGUCCACCGGAUCAAUUGAGAGGAGGUUUUUGGGACUAUUGAAGGCCCAUGUUAGAGCAGCAUGGUCACAUCUUCAUGUGUGUUUCAAAAAUGAACAAAAGUUUUAUGGGCUUGUUACACUAGAAACCUCACGCCAUGACUUG